rnacentral:lncRNA from 1 species
GCAGUGUGUGACAGCAUGGUGUGAGGUAGUGUGCAGUGUGUGGCAGCAUGGUGUGAGAUAGCGUGCAGUGUGUGACAGCAUGGUGUGAGGUAGUGUGCAGUGUGAGGUAGUGUGCAGUGUGUGACAGCAUGGUGUGAGGUAGUGUGCAGUGUGUGACAGAAUGGUGUGAGGUAGUGUGCAGUGUGAGGUAGUGUGCACUGUGUGACAGAAUGGUGUGAGGUAG